CUACGGGACGCUCCAGUGGGGAAUAUUGCACAAUGGAGGAAACUCUGAUGCAGCAACGCCGCGUGGAGGAUGACACUUUUCGGAGCGUAAACUCCUUUUAUAUAGGAAGAAGAUGACGGUACUAUAUGAAUAAGCGCCGGCUAACUCCGUGCCAGCAGCCGCGGUAAUAGGGAGGGCGCAAGCGUUACUCGGAAUCACUGGGCGUAAAGAGCGUGUAGGCGGAUUAAAAAGUCAGAAGUGAAAUCCUAUAGCUUAACUAUAGAACUGCUUCUGAAACUCUUAAUCUAGAAUAUGGGAGAGGUAGAUGGAAUUUCUGGUGUAGGGGCAAAAUCCGUAGAGAUCAGAAGGAAUACCGAUUGCGAAGGCGAUCUACUAGAACAUUAUUGACGCUGAGACGCGAAAGCGUGGGGAGCAAACAGGAUUAUACCCCAGUAGUC
rnacentral:rRNA from 1 species